GAGGAAUAUUGGACAAUGGGCGCAAGCCUGAUCCAGCCAUGCCGCGUGCAGGAUGACGGUCCUAUGGAUUGUAAACUGCUUUUGUACGAGAAGAAACACUGAUUCGUGAAUCAGCUUGACGGUAUCGUAAGAAUAAGGAUCGGCUAACUCCGUGCCAGCAGCCGCGGUAAUACGGAGGAUCCAAGCGUUAUCCGGAAUUAUUGGGUUUAAAGGGUCCGUAGGCGGUUUAGUAAGUCAGUGGUGAAAGCCCAUCGCUCAACGGUGGAACGGCCAUUGAUACUGCUGAACUUGAAUUAUUAGGAAGUAACUAGAAUAUGUAGUGUAGCGGUGAAAUGCUUAGAGAUUACAUGGAAUACCAAUUGCGAAGGCAGGUUACUACUAAUUGAGUGACGCUGAUGGACGAAAGCGUGGGGAGCGAAC
rnacentral:rRNA from 1 species